UACGAAGGGGGCUAGCGUUGCUCGGAAUCACUGGGCGUAAAGCGCACGUAGGCGGCUUUUUAAGUCAGGGGUGAAAUCCUGGAGCUCAACUCCAGAACUGCCUUUGAUACUGAGAAGCUUGAGUCCGGGAGAGGUGAGUGGAACUGCGAGUGUAGAGGUGAAAUUCGUAGAUAUUCGGAAGAACACCAGUGGCGAAGGCGGCUCACUGGUCCGGUACUGGACGCUGAGGUGCGAAAGCGUGGGGAGCCAAACAGGG
rnacentral:rRNA from 1 species